rnacentral:lncRNA from 1 species
AGUCAAUCAUCAUUGUUAACAACAUCCCCUAUUUUCUUUUCAUCUCCUUGGAUUUGCCAUCACCACUCCAUUCCUUCUCUUUCUCAACAAUCAUUGUCAGCCUCCUCACUCAGCAUUAACUACCUGACCUAUGCUAAAUGGCCUCGAACUCCAUCUCCUCCUCUUCUUCUCUCAACCAAACCACCAUAGAUUUUUCUCUAUUCUCACCAUGCUUUACUCGACCAGGCACUAAAUAUUCCUCUUGUACCAUUUAUCACCCCUCUAGUCGUCGGCCCUCCAAUGCAUCAUUGUCUUCUACCACUGCUCCACCACUGC